rnacentral:rRNA from 1 species
GGUUGAUCCUGCCAGUAGUCAUAUGCUUGUCUCAAAGAUUAAGCCAUGCAUGUCUCAGUGUAAACUUUUAAACGGUGAAACUGCGAAUGGCUCAUUAAAACAGUUAUAGUUUAUUUGAUAACCGAAGUCUACAUGGAUAACCGUGGGAAUUCUAGGGCUAAUACAUGCGUAAGAUCCGAAAGGAUUGUGUUUAUUAGAUUUUAAAUCAACUCCAAGCUCGCUUGGAACCGAUGGAAUGAUAAUAACCGAACGAAUCGCAGUGCUUUAUGCGGCGAUAAAUCAUUCAAGUUU